UAUUGUGCAUGUUUUUUUCACUUGUUACUUACCUUACUAAUUCUGACUGACCCCGAGAAAUGGUAAAUGGAUUGUUUAGAUUUUGCCUCGUCUAAAAGUCAGAGGUUAGGAUUGAAUGUUGGGUUAUGAUCGAGUUUUGGUUUUGGCUGAGAGAUUUUGAGUGAAAUUAGAAGCAAAUGUGACUCGCAGAAAGUUAUUUCUACCGUAUGGGAUAAAAUGCCACUGCAAAUCGAUGCGGACGGACUUGUUUUUACUAACUACUAACCCGGGGUGUAGGUUAAGUGAGAAAGGUGAAUGACAGCCAUAUUCUUUCAACUUAAGAAUAGUCAUUCACCUACAUUUGUCAACUACCUAGCUCAUGUAUGGCUCCUCGAAUGCCACACCCUGGGCAACAGUCUUGGCUGACUGGCUAAAUACAUGAGUAAUUUAUGAGCUGAAUAUUUACAGGAUAGUCCUUGUUUUGCAUGAAUCAAAACAAGAAAUCUGCAGGAAAUGACAUCAUAGGUUACAGAGCUUGAGUGUUGUGUCAGGCAUGGUUAUGCAAUCUUUGAUGAUACAAACAUGUGGCUUUGGGUGCCUUCUACAUUGAGACUACAUGAAGAGAUCAUCAAGGCCACCAAACAGUCCAUCAUCCACAUAACCAGAUCCAGUAAACAGAAAAGUCCAAAGCAAGCAUUACACCCAAUUCAGCCCUAUUCUAAGGAGUGCAAAGUUGCUUUCAAGUAAGAGAUCGUCAAAUUUUUCUUAACAUAUCCUAUAGAUGAGAAUGAUCUAUGCAUGCACUACAGAUGCUGUUCUUUUCACGAGGAAGCCUGCUCAAGAAGCUGCUGCGUGGAAGUCAAAAUAUGAUCGCUUUACUGAUGUUGAAAUUAUUGCCACCACCCUUGAAGUUAGCCUGUAAAGAAUGCAAAAGAUAGAAUGAAAAUGCUUUCUUCAUUUCUUGUUUGUGUCAUUAUAUUUGUCUUUUGUGUUGGUUUAUUCUGUAAAUAAAGAUUUAACAAAUUUUU